GUGCUUGCUUCUGCAGUGCAUAUCCUAAAAUUGGAAUGACACAGAGAAGACUAGCAUGGCCCCUGCACAAGGAUGACAUGCAAAUUCACGAAGCAUUCCAUAUUUUU
ensembl:snRNA U6 U6 spliceosomal RNA